rnacentral:rRNA from 1 species
CACUCCUACGGGAGGCAGCAGUGGGGAAUUUUGGACAAUGGGCGAAAGCCUGAUCCAGCAAUGCCGCGUGAGUGAAGAAGGCCUUCGGGUUGUAAAGCUCUUUUGUCAGGGAAGAAACGGUGAAAGCUAAUAUCUUUUGCUAAUGACGGUACCUGAAGAAUAAGCACCGGCUAACUACGUGCCAGCAGCCGCGGUAAUACGUAGGGUGCAAGCGUUAAUCGGAAUUACUGGGCGUAAAGCGUGCGCAGGCGGUUUUGUAAGUCUGAUGUGAAAUCCCCGGGCUCAACCUGGGAAUUGCAUUGGAGACUGCAAGGCUAGAAUCUGGCAGAGGGGGGUAGAAUUCCACGUGUAGCAGUGAAAUGCGUAGAUAUGUGGAGGAACACCGAUGGCGAAGGCAGCCCCCUGGGUCAAGAUUGACGCUCAUGCACGAAAGCGUGGGGAGCAAACAGGAGUAGAAACCCGAGUAGUCCC